CGUCUAUAUACGUAUAGCAUAUCAAUAAGCGGAGGAAAAGAAACUAACUAGGAUUCCCUUAGUAACGGCGAGUGAAGCGGGAAGAGCUCAAAUAUGAAAUCUUCAAGGUUUUACCUUGACGAAUUGUAGUUUAAAGAAGUGUUUUCUGUUGGAGUUUUGGUAAAAGUUCUUUGGAAUAGGACAUCAUAGAGGGUGAGAAUCCCGUAUUUGACCAUUUCUUCCAGCUGUGUGAUACACUUUCAAAGAGUCGGAUUGUUUGGGAAUGCAGUCCAAAAUGGGUGGUAAAUUUCAUCUAAAGCUAGAUAUUGGCGAGAGACCGAUAGCGAACAAGUACCGUGAGGGAAAGAUGAAAAGAACUUUGAAAAGAGAGUUAAACAGUACGUGAAAUUGUCAAAAGGGAAGCGUUUGACACCAGUGUUGUUUUCUCGAAAAUCAAUUAAAAAUGACCGGAUUUUGUGUUGUAUUGACUUUAUCAGCUUUCUGCACUUUUUUCUUGUCUUUUUUAAUGCACUUUCGUUUAACAAGUCAACAUCAAUUUCUUUUGUUGUAAAAGAGUCAUUGGAAGGUGGCUUUCAUUUCGGUGAAAGUGUUUAUAGCCUUUGACUUCUGCAAUCGGAGAGAUUGAGGUCUGCAGCGUAGAUCCUUCGGGGUUAGAUACAUUUGUGCUAAGUUAUAGUUUUUCAUAGACAACAUGUUGACUAUGAUUUAAUCAUUGUAGCUUACUCGCUUACUGCUAUUUUACCUACGCUUAGGAUGUUGAUAGUCACAGCGUGUAC
rnacentral:rRNA from 1 species